rnacentral:rRNA from 1 species
GACGAACGCUGGCGGCGUGCUUAACACAUGCAAGUCGAGCGAUGAAUUUUCUUCGGAAAUGGAUUAGCGGCGAACGGGUGAGGAACACGUGAAGAAUCUGCCCUCCACUUUGGGAUAACACAGGGAAACCUGUGCUAAUACCGAAUAUUGAAACAUAAGUGGCAUCACUGAGUUUUGAAAGAAUUUCGGUGGAGGAUGACUUCGCGGCCUAUCAGCUAGUUGUGGGGUAAUGGCUCACCAAGGCAACGACGGGUAGCAGGCCUGAGAGGGCGACCGGCCACACUGGGACUGAGACACGGCCCAGACUCCUACGGGAGGCAGCGGUGGGGAAUAUUGGGCAAUGGAGGGAACUCUGACCCAGCGACGCCGCGUGCGGGAUGAAGGCCUUCGGGUUGUAAACCGCUUUCAGUAGGGAAGAAGCGAAAGUGACGGUACCUACAAAAGAAGCACCGGCUAACUAUGUGCCAGCAGCAGCCGCAG